GACAUGUGGGGUUUGCUGUAGACAUUUCAGAUAACUCGGGAUUCUGUAGCUUCCUGGCAACUUUG
ensembl:miRNA MIR4320 microRNA 4320